GGAUAGGGCGUCUGACUACGGAUCAGAAGACUACGGGUUCGAAUCCCGUCGGACUCG
rnacentral:tRNA from 1 species